AACGUACUCCCUCCGUUCCGAAUUACUUGUCGCACGUAUGGAUGUAUCUAGAUGUAUUUUAGUUCUAGAUACAUCCAUUUCAGGGACGAAUAAUUUGGAACGGAGGGAGUAUCUA
rfam:Triticum aestivum genome assembly, contig: Triticum_aestivum_CS42_TGACv1_scaffold_068621_1DL